UACAGAGGGUGCGAGCGUUAAUCGGAAUUACUGGACGUAAAGCGUGCGUAGACGGUUAUUUAAGUCGGGUGUGAAAGCCCCGGGCUCAACCUGGGAAUUGCAUUCGAGACUGAAUAGCUAGGGUACGGUAGAGGGAAGCGGAAUUUCCGGUGUAGCGGUGAAAUGCGUAGAUAUCGGAAGGAACAUCAGUGGCGAAAGCGGCUUCCUGGACCAGUACCGACGUUCAGGCACGAAAGCGUGGGGAGCAAACAGG
rnacentral:rRNA from 1 species